AAACUCAAAUGAAUUGACGGGGACCCGCACAAGCGGUGGAUGAUGUGGUUUAAUUCGAUGCAACGCGAAAAACCUUACCCACCUUUGACAUGUAUGGAAGAUCGCAGAGACGCGAUUGUGCUCGAAAGAGAGCCAUAACACAGGUGCUGCAUGGCUGUCGUCAGCUCGUGUCGUGAGAUGUUGGGUUAAGUCCCGCAACGAGCGCAACCCUUGUCAUUAGUUGCUACAUUUAGUUGGGCACUCUAAUGAGACUGCCGGUGACAAACCGGAGGAAGGUGGGGAUGACGUCAAGUCCUCAUGGCCCUUAUAGGUGGGGCUACACACGUCAUACAAUGGCUGGUACAAAGGGUUGCCAACCCGCGAGGGGGAGCAAUCCCAUAAAGCCAGUCGUAGUCCGGAUCGCAGUCUGCAACUCGACUGCGUGAAGUCGGAAUCGCUAGUAAUCGUGGAUCAGAAUGUCACGGUGAAUACGUUCCCGGGUCUUGUACACACCGCCCGUCACACCAUGGGAGCGGGUUCUGCCAGAAGUAGGUAGCCUAACCGUAAGGAGGGCGCUUACCACGGCAGGGUUCGUGACUGGGGUGAAGUCGUAACAAGGUAGCCGUAUCGGAAGGUGCGGCUGGACCUCCUUUAU
rnacentral:rRNA from 1 species